AAUCAAACCAAUGGGUUGCCUCCCACUAAGCGCUUGUUUUUAGUCAAUAGCUUGACUUGGCAGAGUACAGGAUGGGGGUGG
rnacentral:sRNA from 1 species